AUUAACGCGAAGAACCUUACCUGGGCUUGACAUUCUCUUGCAACACCCUGAAAGGGGUGCCUCCUUCGGGACAGGAGAACAGAUGCUGCAUGGCUGUCGUCAGCUCGUGUCGUGAGAUGUUGGGUUAAGUCCCGCAACGAGCGCAACCCUCGUUUCUAGUUGUAAAUCUAGAGAGACUGCCGGAAACAAACCGGAGGAAGGUGGGGAUGACGUCAAGUCAGCAUGGCUCUUACGUCCAGGGCUACACACACGCUACAAUGGCCGCUACAGCGAGAAGCGACACCGCGAGGUGAAGCAGAUCUCUGAAAGGCGGCCCCAGUUCAGAUUGCACUCUGAAACCCGAGUGCAUGAAGUCGGAGUUGCUAGUAACCGCGUGUCAGCAUAGCGCGGUGAAUAUGUUCCCGGGUCUUGUACACACGCAAU
rnacentral:rRNA from 1 species